rnacentral:rRNA from 1 species
UACGUAGGGCGCAAGCGUUGUCCGGAAUUAUUGGGCGUAAAGAGCUCGUAGGCGGUUUGCCGCGUCUGCCGUGAAAGCCCGGGGCUCAACCCCGGGUCUGCGGUGGGUACGGGCAGACUGGAGUGCAGUAGGGGAGACCGGAAUUCCUGGUGUAGCGGUGAAAUGCGUAGAGAUCAGGAGGAACACCCGUGGCGAAGGCGGCCCUCUGGCUCGACCCUGACGCUGAGGCGCGAAAGCAUGGGGAGCGAACAGG